rnacentral:misc_RNA from 1 species
UGUGUACACUGUGUAUUGUCACCUAAG